CCUACGGGAUGCUGCAGUGGGGGAUAUUGCACAAUGGGGGGAACCCUGAUGCAGCGACGCCGCGUGGGUGAAGGAGUAUUUCGGUAUGUAAAGCCCCAUCGGCAGGGAAGAAUUUAGACGGUACCUGACUAAGAAGCCCCGGCUAACUACGUGCCAGCAGCCGCGGUAAUCCGUAGGGGGCAAGCGUUAUCCGGAUUCACUGGGUGUAAGGGGAGCGUAGACGGCCAGGCAAGCCUGGAGUGAAAGCCCGGGGCCCAACCCCGGGACUGCUCUGGGGACUGUCCGGCGGGAGUGCGGGAGGGGCAGGCGGAAUUCCUGGUGUAGCGGUGAAAUGCGUAGAUAUCAGGAGGAACACCGGCGGCGAAGGCGGCCUGCUGGACCGCGACUGACGUUGAGGCUCGAAAGCGUGGGGAGCGAACAGGAUUAGAUACCCCUGUAGUC
rnacentral:rRNA from 1 species